UCCUACGGGAGGCAGCAGUGGGGAAUAUUGCACAAUGGGCGCAAGCCUGAUGCAGCAACGCCGCGUGGGGGAUGAAGGCCUUCGGGUUGUAAACCCCUUUUAGUAGGGAAGAAGCGAAAGUGACGGUACCUACAGAAAAAGCGCCGGCUAACUACGUGCCAGCAGCCGCGGUAAUACGUAGGGCGCAAGCGUUGUCCGGAAUUAUUGGGCGUAAAGAGCUCGUA
rnacentral:rRNA from 1 species